CUCAUCAUCAAUCAGGUCCUGAGGUUUAAAAGGAGCGGGCAGUAAGCACCUUGUUGCCUGAGUGUUUGCCAAUACUGGUGUUCCUGACCUCCUGGCUCUAGUCUCUGCAAGAUCCCAAGUACUCCUGACUUCAAGCUCCCUCGCUUACUAAGCUCCAGCUGGCUGACUCCAAGUUCCAAACCUCCAAGCAACUUGCAAGCGAACCUAGUCCACCCAAUCUGGUGUGCUUCCAGUCCUGUGUCCGUUACCUGAAGUUCUUGGUUUGUAUGCAAACUGACCUGACCUCCGCUCCAUAGAGAAACUAUGGAUUAUUGUCAAGACACAGAUGAAAGACACCAGAACCAACAAUGCAGGCAAGCUGUUAAAGCAAUCUGGACUUUCUUAACACCUCAUCAGCACUAAAGGCUGCUGAUGCAGUACUUCAUACAAAAGGAGCCCAGACCAAAUAUUGUGUAUGUACUGUUCAUGGACAUGCUUUUGAAACAAAAGUAUUAUAUAAAGUCAUAACUUUUUCUAAA